UUUCAGUGCUUGUGCUCUGCUCGUGCCAUUCGUUUAACCUUAUCGCAUUUCCAUUUCUGCUUCUUCAGAACAAUUACUAUGGGUAAGUGCUAUCCUACUGUGAGCGAGGAGUACCUCAAGGCUGUUGACAAAUGUAAAAGGAAACUCAGAGGACUCAUUGCUGAGAAGAAUUGUGCUCCUAUUAUGCUCCGUCUUGCAUGGCACUCUGCUGGUACCUACGAUGUGUGUUCCAAAACUGGUGGUCCUUUUGGUACCAUGAGGUUCAAAGCGGAGCUAGCACAUGGUGCAAACAAUGGUCUUGACAUUGCUCUCAGACUCUUGGAGCCCAUUAGGGAGCAGUUUCCCACCCUCUCCCAUGCUGAUUUCCAUCAGUUGGCUGGUGUUGUUGCUGUUGAAGUUACUGGAGGACCUGAUGUUCCCUUUCACCCUGGCAGAGAGGACAAGCCAGAGCCACCAGUGGAAGGUCGCUUGCCGGAUGCCACCAAGGGCUGUGACCACUUGAGAGACGUGUUCAAGAAACAAAUGGGUCUUUCUGACCAGGAUAUUGUUGCACUCUCUGGUGCCCAUACCUUGGGAAGGGCACACAAGGAGCGUUCUGGUUUUGAAGGACCUUGGACUGCCAAUCCCCUUAUCUUUGACAAUUCAUACUUCACGGAGCUUUUGAGUGGGGAAAAAGAGGGGCUCUUACAGUUGCCGUCAGACAAGGCUCUCCUUUGUGAUCCUGCUUUCCGUCCCCUUGUUGAGAAAUAUGCUGCGGAUGAAGAUGCCUUCUUUGCUGACUAUGCUGAGGCUCACUUGAAGCUUUCUGAAUUGGGAUUUGCUGAAGCUUAAGAUGCUGAUUGGAAGAGCUGGGAGUGGUGACAUAUUUUUGUUAAUGGUUCAUUUCUGAAAAGCUUGCUGGAGCUGUUGUUUUUGCUGCUCUUUAUAUAUCAUGAUUUAAAUUUGGCAGCUACGUUAGACGAUGAUAUUGUGACACUCUUCCAGCUUAUUAAUAAAUUUCUAGUAUUUUGUUUUUGUGGUUUCAUCGCUUUUGUUAAUUUUAAAUUAAUUACUUGGCUGAACUUGGUAUGUUAAGGAAAAAAAUGCACUCAGUUGUCUAGGAAGACUUGCGUGAUUGAGAACAACAUAGAAUUAUUGGACUGAUUCUAUCCAGUCAUGUAAUUUUCAUUUAUUUGAUUAAAAGAUGUGUUGGUGUGUCUAAA
rnacentral:misc_RNA from 1 species